rfam:Haloferax volcanii DS2, complete genome.
AUGGGAAUCCAGCACGGCCGCAAAUCUGACUCGCCCAGUUUGGGCUUGGGAUUGCGGUAGUGC